GAUUGAGGGCGAAGCGAAGCGGCUGGUUACCAGGCAAAUCCGGUACCAUAAGGCUAGAUCGUGACAGGUAAGCGAAAUCUUAGGAAAGUAGCGAAGCACAUGAUGACGGCUUCCAGGAAAAGCUUCUGGCAAUGCAUAUGCGGCCCGUACCAAAACCGACACAGGUGGGCAGGGAGAGAAUCCCGAGGUGAGCGAGAGAACUGUUGCCAAGGAACUCGGCAAAAUGACUCCGUAAGUUAGCGAGAAGGAGUGCUUAAGCAAUUAAGCCGCAGUGAAGAGGCCCAAGCGACUGUUUAACUAAAACACAGCUCUCUGCGAAGUCGCAAGACGAAGUAUAGGGGGUGACACCUGCCCGGUGCUGGAAGGUUAAGAGGAUCUGUUAAGAGCGAUCUGAAGCAGUGAUCCGAAGCCCCAGUGAACGGCGGCCGUAACAAUAACGGUCCUAAGGUAGCGAAAUUCCUUGUCAGGUAAGUUCUGACCCGCACGAAAGGUGUAACGAUUUGGGCGCUGUCUCGGCAGCAGACUCGGUGAAAUCUUAGUACCUGUGAAAAUGCAGGUUACCCGCAACUAGACGGAAAGACCCCAUGGAGCUUUACUGCAGCCUGAUAUUGAAUUCUGGUCAUACAUGUACAGGAUAGGUGGGAGACAAAGAGACGUGCACGCCAGUGUACGAGGAGUCGACGUUGGGAUACCACUCUUGUGUGACUGGGGUUCUACCUGGUAUCGAGAACAGGUACGGGGAGAGUGUCAGGUGGGCAGUUUGACUGGGGCGGUCGCCUCCCAAAGAGUAACGGAGGCGCCCAAAGGUACGCUCAGAUUGGAUGGAAACCAAUCGUCGAGUGCAAUUGCAGAAGCGUGCUUGACUGUGAGACAGACAAGUCGAACAGGGACGAAAGUCGGGAAUAGUGAUCCGGCGGUGCCGAAUGGAAGGGCCGUCGCUCAACGGAUAAAAGCUACCCUGGGGAUAACAGGCUGAUCUCGCCCAAGAGUUCACAUCGACGGCGAGGUUUGGCACCUCGAUGUCGGCUCAUCGCAUCCUGGAGCUGGAUUCGGUUCCAAGGGUUGGGCUGUCCGCCCAUUAAAGCGGUACGCGAGCUGGGUUCAGAACGUCGUGAGACAGUUCGGUCCCUAUCUGUUGUGGGCGAAGGAGAUCUGCGGAGAGCUGUCCUCAGUACGAGAGGACCGGGAUGGACCUACCGCUGGUGCACCGGUUGUUCCGCCAGGGGCAUAGCCGGGUAGCUAAGUAGGGAAAGGAUAAGCGCUGAAAGCAUCUAAGCACGAAGCCUACUCCAAGAUGAGAUCUCCCAUUCGCAAGAAGUAAGACCCCUUAAAGACGAUAAGGUAGAUAGUCCAGGGAUGGAAGUGCAGUGAUGUACGGAGUUGACUGGUACUAAUCGGUCGAGGACUUAACC
rnacentral:rRNA from 1 species